ACCAUGUUUAAGAAUUAGCCACCUACCUAGGCUGUGGUCGAGAAAUUAAAAUCUUCCACAACCCAGUUCUCAUGCAUGCUUUUACGUGAAUGAAUAGAUUGGGAAGUUACCUAGGGUGUCCUUUAUUCAGUGUUUUUCUCUCUUUUUUUUCUUUCAUGAAAAGUUGUUACAAAAUUGAGAGUACAUGGAAAAGGGUCAUUGGUACUAGUUAGUGGAAUAUUUCAUGCCUCUUUCACCCAUUCUCUCAGUUGAGUUGAAAACUUUCUCCUUUUCAUUUUUCCUAUAAAUAGGUGUUAUUGGCCACUGAGAAACCCAACUCUUCCAAGUUCCAACUCAACUCACUCUUUCUUUCUCUCUCUCUCUCUCUCUCUCUCUCUCCAUAUAUAUAUUUUACUUUUUAUCUAUUCUUAUCUCUUUCUUUUCUUCUCUAUACAUACAACACUAUAAUUCACCAUUUUUUUGUAUGUGAUUUUCUUUUUCUUUCUGAUGAACUGUAGGUUUGAGAGGAAAGGAUCUUUGGGGAAAGAGAAAGAGAGGAAGUAGUUGGCAAGGUUGUUGACAGAAGAUAGAGAGCACAGAUGAUGAUAUGCAGAAACAUAUGGAACAGGAAAGCAAUUGCGUCUCACUCCUUUGUGCUCUCUAGGCUUCUGUCAUCCACCUUCACUAUCCUCCAUUUCUCACCACUCUUCCAUUACUACAAAGGUAGAUACGCACCAGUUUUGGCAAGUGAAGAUCAUAAAUCUGUCUGUUCAUGGUACGAAAAAGCUAUUACAGUGACCAGCUGAAGAAGGAGUUAGCUUGAGCAAGUACUGUAAUUCCUUUCCGAAUACCUCUUUUUUUGAAUUCGUAAAUAAGCAUAAUAUAAUGUCUCCAAUCAAAGCUUAGAUAUAUAGAUAUAGAUAUUUCUCCAUAUCUAAAAGAGUGAUAAAUAUAAACACUUCUUAUGUCGAACACUUUAUAUUGUUACUAAUAUCUUUUCAUCAUAUACAUCAUCUGGUAUACUUAGAUUUGUCUCUUCUUUUUUUUAUUCUUUUCCUCUAGUUCUCUAUGUUAAGUAGCAUUUUAUAUCCACCAUUUUUCUCUAUCUAAAGCAUCAAACAUUUCUUUGGAGGUGGAAGUACUUAUUAGACCAUGAUCAAGUAAUAUAUUCUCGUUUUUUUUUCUCUUUUCAUGAAAACAAUCACUGUGAUGAGAUGAUUCUCUAGGAAGGACCAACUACUGCCACUUGAUUUGUGGAAGGACCAAAAAGAAAAUGAGAAUUUUCUGCAUUGGAAGACUGUGAAAGCAAAUGAAACCAGUUAAACAAAGCAACCAUAAUGUACGGAUCCAAAAUGGCCAUCACAUAUUGUAGGGCAUAUACUUUGCAGAAUUUUCCAAGUCAGUACCCCACAACUAAUUGUUCACUGAUUCGCUAAGGUGGCCUCUGUAUCAGUCAAUGGACCUAUAUGAUUUACAAUGGGAUCAAGCUUCUCAUUACCAGAAGCACCAUUGGUUAUAAACAGUACAAUAUUCACCAUCAAAACAAGUUAUUCUUAAUAAUUAUAUAUGUAUGUAUACCUAGUUUUUAUUUCAUCAUAUUUCCAUCCCUUUCUCUUUAA